rnacentral:rRNA from 1 species
AUUGAACGCUGGCGGCAGGCCUAACACAUGCAAGUCGAGCGGUAACAGAUCUAGCUUGCUAGAUGCUGACGAGCGGCGGACGGGUGAGUAACGCGUAGGAAUCUACCAAGUAGUGGGGGAUAAGCCAGAGAAAUUUGGUCUAAUACCGCAUACGUUCUUCGGAAGAAAGGAGGGGAUCUUCGGACCUUUCGCUAUUUGAUGAGCCUGCGUGAGAUUAGCUUGUUGGUGAGGUAAUGGCUCACCAAGGCGACGAUCUCUAGCUGGUCUGAGAGGAUGAUCAGCCACACUGGGACUGAGACACGGCCCAGACUCCUACGGGAGGCAGCAGUGGGGAAUAUUGCACAAUGGGCGCAAGCCUGAUGCAGCCAUGCCGCGUGUGUGAAGAAGG